CAACUUUUGGCAACGGAUCUCUUGGUUCUCCCAUCGAUGAAGAACGCAGCGAAUUGCGAUAAGUAAUGUGAAUUGCAGAAGUGAAUCAUCGAAUCUUUGAACGCACCUUGCGCUCCCGGCAGAUCUAAUCUGGGGAGCAUGCCUGUUUGAGGGCCGCGAAUUGUUUCG
rnacentral:rRNA from 1 species